GAUGAACGCUGGCGGCGUGCCUAAUACAUGCAAGUCGAGCGAACAGACGAGGAGCUUGCUCCUCUGACGUUAGCGGCGGACGGGUGAGUAACACGUGGAUAACCUACCUAUAAGACUGGGAUAACGUCGGGAAACCGGAGCUCAUACCGGAUAAUAUAUUGAACCGCAUGGUUCAAUAGUGAAUGACGGUUUUGCUGUCACUUAUAGAUGGCUCCGCGCCGCAUUAGCUAGUUGGUAAGGUAACGGCUUACCAAGGCAACGAUGCGUAGCCGACCUGCGAGGGUGAUCGGCCACACUGGAACUGAGACACGGUCCAGACUCCUACGGGAGGCAGCAGUAGGGAAUCUUCGGCAAUGGGCGAAAGCCUGACGGAGCAACGCCGGGUGAGUGAUGAAGGUCUUCGGAUCGUAAGACUCUGUUAUUGGGGAAGAACAAAUGUGUAAGUAACUAUGCACGUCUUGACGGUACCUAAUCAGAAAGCCACGGCUAACUACGUG
rnacentral:rRNA from 1 species